UGCUAUCGUGACGUAUAAUGUAGUGGACGGUUCAUCCAAAACAACAAGUCAACCACCUCGGUAGCUUGCUAGCCAACGUAGCCGAAAGAUUCAAGCUGUUUUUACGCUUUCGGUGUAUAUUAGCUUCUGUGUUUUAGACACACUUCUAUCGUAUAUACUUGUUAGCCUAUUUAAUUUAAUGUUACGUUUUUUUAAAAUUAGUCAGAUAUAGUAGCUGGCUGGUUAAAUUAGCACUAGCUUAGUCGCUAAUGAUAGCUAGCUAGCUAAUAUCCCCGAACAUGAGGUCAGUAAGCUUCUCUCCUCCUGCUAAAGAAGAAGGGGUCUGCUGGACGGAGAAAGAAGCUCUGGGGAUGAACAUUGUCGUGAAAGAGGAGAAGGAAGAGGAGGAUGUCACAGUUAAAAAAAUAAAUUGAGGGCGAGGCUGUUACAGUGAAAGAGGAAGACGUUACAGUGAAAGAGGAGGAUGAGAAAGAGGAUGCCGUUUUUGACGUGAAGAAGGAAGGGGAGAUUUCUGUCACAUUGAAAGAUGAAGAGGUGGAGGUAGGAGAUCUGAUUUACAUCAGUAAGUACCGCCGUAAAUUGGGUUUUCCACUUUGGAUAUUCGGAGUUGUCUCGUCAAUACCUCAUCAAGGGAGGGCCCUAGGAUGAUGACUGAUAUGUCUAGAAUCAGACGACGUGGAGAGCAAGCUACCCCUUGUUUUCUCCGUUCCGUUUUCAAAAAGUGACUUAACAUAUAUAUUUGAGAAGGGUCUAUCAGGGGAGCACGGGAUUUAAGUUUUAAGCCGUUUCCAGCUACAAUGGUCAUUUACAACAUUAACAAUGUCUACACUGUAUUUCUGAUCAAUUUUAUGUUAUUUUAAUGGACAAAAAAAUGUGAUUUUCUUUCAAAAACAAGGACGUUUCUAAGUGACCCCAACUUUUGAACGGUAGUGUACAUCUACAUGAUGUAUUGUUACACCCUCUAGGAGCAGUAUAGACCUAGUCUGUUCAUUAUAUACAUCUACAUCAUGUAUUGUUACACCAUGUAGGAGCAGUAUAGACCUAGUCUGUUCAUUAUAUACAUUUACAUGAUGUAUUGUUACACCAUGUAGGAGCAGUAUAGACUUAGUCUGUUCAUUAUAUACAUCUACAUGAUGUAUUGUUACAACAUUUAGGAGCAGUAUAGACCUAGUCUGUUCAUUAUAUACAUCUACAUGAUGUAUUGUUACACCAUGUAGGAGCAGUAUAGACCUAGUCUGUUCAUUAUAUACAUCUACAUGAUGUAUUGUUACACCAUGUAGGAGCAGUAUAGACCUAGUCUGUUCAUUAUAUAUGUCUACAUGAUGUAUUGUUACACCAUGUAGGAGCAGUAUAGACCUAGUCUGUUCAUUAUAUACAUCUACAUGAUGUAUUGUUACACCAUGUAGGAGCAGUAUAGACCUAAUCUGUUCAUUAUAUACAUCUACAUGAUGUAUUGUUACACCAGGUAGGAGCAGUAUAUACCUAGUCUAUUCAUUAUAUACAUCUACAUGAUGUAUUGUUACACCAGGUAGGAGCAGUAUAGACCUAGUCUGUUCAUUAUAUACAUCUACAUGAUGUAUUGUUACACCAUGUAGGAGCAGUAUAGACCUAGUCUGUUCAUUAUAUACAUCUACAUGAUGUAUUGUUACACCAUGUAGGAGCAGUAUAGACCUAGUCUGUUCAUUAUAUACAUCUACAUGAUGUAUUGUUACACCAUGUAGGAGCAGUAUAGACCUAGUCUGUUCAUUAUAUACAUCUACAUGAUGUAUUGUUACACCAUGUAGGAGCAGUAUAGACCUAGUCUGUUCAUUAUAUACAUCUACAUGAUGUAUUGUUACACCAUGUAGGAGCAGUAUAGACCUAGUCUAUUCAUUAUAUACAUAUACAUGAUGUAUUGUUACACCAUGUAGGAGCAGUAUAGACCGACAGUAGCUGGCUACUUAUUUAGAUUUAGUUUGACCUAAUGAAACUGCCUUAAAUGUGCUGUAGCAAAAUAAAAUGUAUUCGCACUAAUCAAUCAACACAUUCCUGUCUUUGUAUGUCUCAAUAUAAUAGUAUUAUUUAAUGAAAUCCAUUUAAAAUAAUAUUUUCCUCAACUGCGUUUCCCACUCCAGUCAGCAGACGGCGAUUUGCGUCGUUCUGGCGAUGCUGCUAACGUGACGUAUAAUGUAGUGGACGGGUCUUCAAAAACAACAAGUCAACCACCUCGGUAGCUUGCUAGCCAACGUAGCCGAAAGAUUAAAGCUGUUUUUACGCUUUCGGUGUAUAUUAGCUGCUGUGUUUUAGACACACUUCUAUCGUAUCUACUUGUUAACCUAUUUAAUUUAAUAUGACGUUAUUUUUUAUUAGUCAGAUAUAGUAGCUGGCUGGUUAAAUUAGCACUAGCUUAGUUGCUAAUGAUAGCUAGCUAGCUAACAUCCCCGAACAUGAGGUCAGUAAGCUUCUCCCCUCCUGCUAAAGAAGAGCUCUGCUGGACGGAGAAAGAAGCUCUGGGGCUGAACAUUGUCGUGAAAGAGGAGAAGGAAGAAGAGGAUGUCACAGUUAAAAAAUAAAUUGAGGGUGAGGCUGUUACAGUGAAAGAGGAAGAAGUGUUCACAGUGAAAGAGGAGGAUGAGAAUGAGGAUGCCGUUUUUGACGUGAAGAAGGAAGGGGAGAUUUCUGUCACAUUGAAAGAUGAAGAGGUGGAGGUAGGAGAUCUGAUUUACAUCAGAGAGAGACGUGACUAUCGUGGAUCUUCUGGGGAGCCUCAACAUCAUGAAGCUGACGAGGCAGAGAAGAGUCCCUCCCGAUCAGAACACCUCAAGAAACACCAGAGGAGACCCACAGGGAAGAAAUCUCACUGCUCUGACUGUGGGAAAGGUUGCAAAUCUUCAUCAGAACUUAAAAUACACCAGCGAGUACACACAGGAGAGAAAUCUGACCACUGUUUUGAUUGUGGGAAGAGUUACUUAAGAUCAGAAUCACUAAAAGUACACAUGAGAAUUCACACUGGAGAGAAACCUUAUAGCUGUACUCAAUGUGGGAAGAGGUUUAAUCACUCAAGCUGCCUGAUGGUACAUCUGAGAGCACACACCGGAGAGAAACCUUACCACUGCUCUGACUGCGGAAAGAGUUUUGUUGUUCAACAGAUUUAAAAUCACACCAGAAAAUACACAGAGUAGAGAAACCUUUUAACUACUCAAUGUGGGAAGAGGUUUAAUCAAUCAAGCUGGCUGAUAGUACAUCUGAGAGCACACACAGGAGUGAAACCUUAUAGCUGUGAUCAAUGUGGGAAGAGAUUUGUUACAUCUAGCCAUCUGACUAUACACCAGAGAACACACACAGGAGAGAAAUCUUAUAGCUGUGAUCAAUGUCACAAGAGAUACUCUGAUAAAAGAUCUCUGAUCAAACAUCAGAAAAUACAUAUAUGAAGUAGUUGUUUCAUGAUAUCAAUGAAAUGUCACAAUGUAGAAUAUUUGAAUGAUGUCACAAUGUAGAAUGUUUUAACAUUGUAGUAGGAAUACAAAGGAUUUGAAUUUGAUAAAAGUCCAUAUUGAUACAGAAACACUAAACCAUGAUUUAGAUGUAUUAAGAACAAGUUGAUUGACAAAGUCAUGAAAAAUGGAAUAAACCACAUUUUGACAAUGAUAAAAGAUAUGGCUCUGGUGUCAAAAUGAUCCAUGUCAGAACUAUGGUUCAAUGUAAAUAUGUAGUGGGUCUAAAGUUUGUUUUAAAUUGUCACUCAUUAAAUAAAUGAAAAUAAACUUUUGGUUCCUCAACUGCGUUGCCCACUCCAGUCAGCAGAAAGAGAUGCAGCAGAAGUGCGUCUUUUUAUAUUUGAUUUGAUUUAUAUAUUUUUUUAUUCAAAAUGCAGAUCUACAAUUUACAUUGUUACAUCAUACAAAACAGAACACAGGUAUUAACAAGAAAAUACUAAAACAGACAAAAACUAUAAAUAAUUAACUAUUCUAGUGUGGUUGUAAUCACUCUGAAAAAAUCUAUAAUGAUUCAGGAAGAUGUUAUUGUUGUUGUUAUUCACUAGGAUUAAUGUUUUAAUAAAAUAGUUACAUUCAAUCAGAAAAAUGUAGAAUUUUGGUAUAGAAUUUUUGUUUGUGUAUAAAGUUUGUGUAUUUGGCAACAAGAAUUAAAAAAAAGAACAAUCA